AGGUUUCCUGUGCGCCCCGCCGCGCCGCUCCUCCCACCUCCCCAGUGCCGAGAGCGGGGCAACCUGCUGAGCGGCCCCGGGCCCCGAGGGGCGAGACCCCAGCCCGGCUGCGUGGAAUGCCGCUGGGAGCUGGCUGCGGGUUCCCCGCCCGGACGCGAGCUGCUCGGUGGUGUCCUUCCCGCUCUGGUACUUCUUCCACAUGCUUCCAGAAGCAUCCCUUUGCCAUCUUAGCAACAUUAGUCACCCUAGAAGCAUCAUCGUCAAACUGCUCAGAAGAUACAGGGACUCUGUCCAGUUGCUGCGCUGCUCCCUCUGCUUCAGACACGGUCGCUCAGCCGUUCACCAGUGGGCAGGGAGCCGAACACCAGUGGGAGCUGAGAGCCUCAGCCCAGCGUGGGUCUGGACAGUUGUGGAGAAGUUCACUGUACGCUGCUCCUUCUUGAUUCCUUGGAAGGGCACUGGACUGCUUAGUGCCUUCUUCUCACUUGUGUCCACACUGUAGCCUUCCAGGGCAGGAGGCUUUCUCCUCCACUUCAUCAGAAUUUUCAUGGGAUGGAACCUUUGCAUCUCUGGUAAGCUUCCCAGGUGAUUCUUACACCUACUGAAGUUCAAGACCCUUGGGCU
rnacentral:lncRNA from 1 species